rnacentral:rRNA from 1 species
UACAGAGGGUGCGAGCGUUGUCCGGAAUCACUGGGCGUAAAGAGCGCGCAGGCGGUCGUUCAAGUCGCGUGUGAAAGCCCCCGGCUCAACUGGGGAGGGUCACGCGAUACUGAUCGACUGGAAGGCAGGAGAGGGUAGUGGAAUUCCCGGUGUAGUGGUGAAAUGCGUAGAUAUCGGGAGGAACACCAGUGGCGAAGGCGACUACCUGGCCUGUUCUUGACGCUGAGGCGCGAAAGCUAGGGGAGCAAACGGG